rnacentral:sRNA from 1 species
AAAUACAAGGGUGAAUCACUGGCUGGGUGAGCAUCCUCUUCCUCAUUUACCACUUCAUGUGCAUCCCUCCUGAAGCUACAGGCUUAGUUAAAGAGGACAACUUUCCUUCAAAGAAGAGGACUGUUCUUUGGUUAAGAGUAUCUGGAUCUGGGUGUGGUGGCGCAUGCCUUUAACCCCAGCAC